rnacentral:misc_RNA from 1 species
AACGCAUCUUGCGCCCUUUGGUAUUCCGAAGGGCAUGCCUGUUUGAGUGUCAUGUUCAUCUCAAACCACAAGCCUUUUGUUAGGCUUGGACGGUUUGGACUUGGAGGUUCUGCUGGCGGGUGUCGGCUCCUCUUAAAAGCAUUAGCUGGACUUUGGCUUGCAUGAAUGGUGUAAUAGUAACGUGUUCGCCGAAAGUGCUUGCCUGGUGGGUCUGCUUCUAAUUGUCUUCGGACAAGGUCUCUUCGUGACCUUUUGCUUGACCAUUUGACCUCAAGUCAGGUAGGACUACCCGCUGAACUUAA